UACAGAGGUCUCAAGCGUUGUUCGGAUUCAUUGGGCGUAAAGGGUGCGUAGGCGGCGGGGCAAGUCGGAUGUGAAAUCUCAGGGCUCAACCCUGAAACUGCAUUCGAUACUGCUCUGCUCGAGGACUGGAGAGGAGAUUGGAAUUCACGGUGUAGCAGUGAAAUGCGUAGAUAUCGUGAGGAAGACCAGUGGCGAAGGCGGAUCUCUGGACAGUUCCUGACGCUGAGGCACGAAGGCCAGGGGAGCAAA
rnacentral:rRNA from 1 species